AUUGAACGCUGGCGGCAUGCCUUACACAUGCAAGUCGAACGGCAGCACGGGAGCAAUCCUGGUGGCGAGUGGCGAACGGGUGAGUAAUAUAUCGGAACGUGCCCAGUCGUGGGGGAUAACGUAGCGAAAGCUACGCUAAUACCGCAUACGAUCUAUGGAUGAAAGCGGGGGAUCGCAAGACCUCGCGCGAUUGGAGCGGCCGAUAUCAGAUUAGGUAGUUGGUGGGGUAAAGGCUCACCAAGCCGACGAUCUGUAGCUGGUCUGAGAGGACGACCAGCCACGCUGGGACUGAGACACGGCCCAGACUCCUACGGGAGGCAGCAGUGGGGAAUUUUGGACAAUGGGCGCAAGCCUGAUCCAGCAAUGCCGCGUGCAGGAUGAAGGCCUUCGGGUUGUAAACUGCUUUUGUACGGAGCGAAAAGGCUUCCACUAAUACUGGGGGCUCAUGACGGUACCGUAAGAAUAAGCACCGGCUAACUACGUGCCAGCAGCCGCAGUAACAC
rnacentral:rRNA from 1 species